AGGCAGCAGUGGGGAAUUUUGGACAAUGGGGGCAACCCUGAUCCAGCAAUGCCGCGUGAGUGAAGAAGGCCUUCGGGUUGUAAAGCUCUUUUGUCAGGGAAGAAACAGCAGCUCUAACACAGACUGCGAAUGACGGUACCUGAAGAAUAAGCACCGGCUAACUACGUGCCAGCAGCCGCGGUAAUACGUAGGGUGCGAGCGUUAAUCGGAAUUACUGGGCGUAAAGCGUGCGCAGGCGGUUAUACAAGACAGGCGUGAAAUCCCCGGGCUUAACCUGGGAAUGGCGUCUGUGACUGUAUAGCUAGAGUGUGUCAGAGGGGGGUGGAAUUCCACGUGUAGCAGUGAAAUGCGUAGAUAUGUGGAGGAACACCAAUGGCGAAGGCAGCCCCCUGGGAUAACACUGACGCUCAUGCACGAAAGCGUGGGGAGCAAACAGGAUUAGAUACCCUGGUAGUCCACGCCCUAAAC
rnacentral:rRNA from 1 species